UGUCACCAAAAAUGACUACACGCUGCAGAGAACUUUGGCCAGGAUAUGGAGAUGCUCUAAACUGGUAUUCUUGACUCCAAACAUAUGUACCAUUGAACAAUUUAUGUCCAAGCUUGUAUAUGUACACAACGUUUGGCCAUAACUCCUUCAAAAAGCUAGUGUGUAUAAAUCCAGGAUCACGCCACCCCACUGUCCUUGCUGGUGCACCACACAUGCUGUUACGGCUAAAUGUCAGUGUUCCAGCUGGGGAACGUACACGAUCAGCACCUUCUAGACCCCAUUCAACAAAAGGUUGUGCUUCACUGAUCCCAAAUCCACUCGUCCACGUUAUUGUCAUUUCAUUCCAUGCC
rnacentral:misc_RNA from 1 species